rnacentral:tRNA from 1 species
UCCCUGGUGGCUCAGAUGGUAAAGCAUCUGCCUCCAAUGCGGGAGACCCAGGUUCAAUCCCUGGGUCGGGAA